CGUGUGUCCUCAGCCCAAAUCCCUUCCGCCAUGUCAGACCGUCUCUCCUCAUUGUGGGAAAAGGAAACCGUUCUGCUUUUUCUUGCUCCCUCUGUCGGCCAGUACUAGAACUGCUUUGGGGAGACCGGUGAAGAGAGACUGCAAACAAAAACUUAAGAGGUUCUCUAACUCUGGUUUCAUAAAAAAUAGCUGAAGAGGGCCGGGCACGGUGGCUUACGCCUGUAAUCCCAGCACUUUGGGAGGCCGAGGCGGGCGGAUCACUUGAGGUCAUGAGUUUGAGACCAGCCCGGCCAACAUGGCGAAACCCCGCUCUACUAAAAUACAAAUAUUAACCGGGUGUGGUGGCACACUCCUGUAAUCCCAGCUACUGAGGAGGCUGAGAGAGGAGAAUCGCUUGAACCGGGGAGGUGGAGGUUGCAACGGGCCGAGAUCGUGCCACUGCACUCCAGCCUGGGCGACAGAGUGAGACUUAGUCUCAGAAAAAAAAAAAAAAUAGCUGAAGAGAGCGUGUUAAAAAAAAAUUCAGAUUCGAAGAUGGGCGCGGUGUCUCGUGCCUAUAAUCCCAGCUACUCGGGAGGCGAGAGGAUCGCUUGGGCCCAGGAGUUUGAGUCUAGUUCAAGUCCCGCCUUGGGCAACAUAGCAAGACUCUGUCUCUAAAAAAAAAAGUUUAGGCUCAAACACACCUCCUGCUGUCCCAGAAAAUUGAGUUGCUGGUUUCUGAGACAGGGUCUCACUCUUUGGGUUGUUGGUUUUGGAGACAGGGUCUCGGUCUGUCGCCCAGGCUGGAGUGCAGCAGCACAAUCAUAGCUCACCUCAGUAUAACUUUGUAGUGCCAGAAAGGAAGGAAGUAUUCCACACGUGUGCUCACACACAAAAUUAGGGGGUAUGCCAAAGGAGCCAACUGAAAGAACUCCCAAUGGCCAAAGCUGGAACAAUUUGAGCAUCAAAAUAAAGUAGUAUUGGAUUAUAAUCCCAAACAUAAAGUAUCCAUGAGCCUAUGGUCAUAUAGAUGAAGUGGUAAUAAAUGUACCAUUCUAAUAUAAGAUGUUAAUCAUAGGGGAAACUGGGGUAUGUGGGAAUUUUUUUUUGCUGUCAUUGCAGUUUUUCUACAAAUCUAAAACUAUCCUAAAAAUCUUCUUUAAAUAAAACAGUUUCCAAGGCCGUACCCACAAUGGUUCCAAUUCUGAGUCUGUGGUGGGUCACAGGAAUCUGCAUUUUUAAAAAACAGAACCCUAUAUAAUUAGGAUGCAGCCAGACCUGGUGGUUCAUGCCUGUAAUCCCAACACUCUGGGAGACCAAGGCGGGAGGACCGCUUGAGCCUAGGAGUUAAGGACCAACCUAGGCAAAAAGCAAGAUCCUAUCUCCACAAAAUUAAAAAAAUUUUAAUUACUCCUUGGGAGGCUGAGGUGGGAGGAUUGUUUGACCCCGCCCCACUCCCAGCCAAUCUUUAAGCCUUAGCUGAUAGGUGGGCCCUCUGUGAAACCUUCUCACGCUGCCGUCUACUUUCCCAGCUCUUCAGAACACGGCUCACCCUAUCAUAGACACGAUCACACCCUGAUGCAAUCAAUCCUCUGCAGUCAAUUCCCCAUCUGAGCUAAUGGCAUCAACUACAGCUGCUCAGGCUCAAACCUGCCCUGCUGGCCUUGAUCUGUCCUUUCCUUGACCACCUCCCACUGAUGUGUGAGCCACUGACAACUCUGUCGCCCAGGCUGGAGUGCAGUGGCGCGAUCUUGGCCCACUGCAACCUCCACCUCCCAGGUUCAAGUGAUUCUCCUGCCUCAGCCUCCUGAGUAACUGGGACUACAGGUGUUCACCAUCAUGCCUGGCUAAUUUUUUUGCAUUUUUAGUAGAGACGGAGUUUCACCAUGUUGGC
rnacentral:lncRNA from 1 species